rnacentral:rRNA from 1 species
UACGGAGGAUCCAAGCGUUAUCCGGAUUUAUUGGGUUUAAAGGGUGCGUAGGCGGAUUAAUAAGUCAGUGGUGAAAGCCUACAGCUUAACUGUAGAAUUGCCAUUGAUACUGUUAGUCUUGAGUAUAUUUGAAGUGGGCGGAAUGUGCAGUGUAGCGGUGAAAUGCUUAGAUAUUGCACAGAACACCGAUUGCGAAGGCAGCUCACUAAACUAUAACUGACGCUGAGGCACGAAAGUAUGGGGAUCAAACAGG